UUAUGGCUCAGGAUGAACGCUAGCUACAGGCUUAACACAUGCAAGUCUAGGGGCAGCAUUGGAGUAGCAAUACUCAGAUGGCGACCGGCGCACGGGUGAGUAACACGUAUCCAACCUGCCGCUUACUCGGGGAUAGCCUUUCGAAAGAAAGAUUAAUACCCGAUGGUAUAAAGAGUUCGCAUGUUCUCUUUAUUAAAGAAUUUCGGUAAGCGAUGGGGAUGCGUUCCAUUAGAUAGUUGGCGGGGUAACGGCCCACCAAGUCUACGAUGGAUAGGGGUUCUGAGAGGAAGGUCCCCCACAUUGGAACUGAGACACGGUCCAAACUCCUACGGGAGGCAGCAGUGAGGAAUAUUGGUCAAUGGACGAGAGUCUGAACCAGCCAAAGUAGCGUGAAGGAUGACUGCCCUAUGGGUUGUAAACUUCUUUUAUAAGGGAAUAAAGUGAGGGACGUGUCCCUUUUUGUAUGUACCUUAUGAAUAAGGAUCGGCUAACUCCGUGCCAGCCGCCGC
rnacentral:rRNA from 1 species